GACGAACGCUGGCGGCGUGCUUAACACAUGCAAGUCGAACGAAGAGCGAUGGAAGCUUGCUUCUAUCAAUCUUAGUGGCGAACGGGUGAGUAACGCGUAAUCAACCUGCCCUUCAGAGGGGGACAACAGUUGGAAACGACUGCUAAUACCGCAUACGAUCUAAUCUCGGCAUCGAGGAUAGAUGAAAGGUGGCCUCUACAUGUAAGCUAUCACUGAAGGAGGGGAUUGCGUCUGAUUAGCUAGUUGGAGGGGUAACGGCCCACCAAGGCGAUGAUCAGUAGCCGGUCUGAGAGGAUGAACGGCCACAUUGGGACUGAGACACGGCCCAGACUCCUACGGGAGGCAGCAGUGGGGAAUCUUCCGCAAUGGACGAAAGUCUGACGGAGCAACGCCGCGUGAGUGAUGACGGCCUUCGGGUUGUAAAGCUCUGUUAAUCGGGACGAAAGGCCUUCUUGCGAAUAGGA
rnacentral:rRNA from 1 species